AUUGAACGCUGGCGGAAUGCUUUACACAUGCAAGUCGAGCGGCAGCACGGGGGCAACCCUGGUGGCGAGCGGCGAACGGGUGAGGAAUACAUCGGAACAUGCCCAGUCGUGGGGGAUAACACUUCGAAAGAAGUGCUAAUACCGCAUACGUCCUGAGGGAGAAAGCGGGGGAUCUUCGGACCUCGCGCGAUUGGAGCGGCCGAUGUCAGAUUAGCUAGUUGGUGGGGUAAAGGCCUACCAAGGCAACGAUCUGUAGCUGGUCUGAGAGGAUGAUCAGCCACACUGGGACUGAGACACGGCCCAGACUCCUACGGGAGGCAGCAGUGGGGAAUUUUGGACAAUGGGGGCAACCCUGAUCCAGCCAUUCCGCGUGAGUGAAGAAGGCCUUCGGGUUGUAAAGCUCUUUCGGCAGGAACGAAACGGCGAGCUCUAACAUAGCUUGCUAAUGACGGUACCUGAAGAAGAAGCACCGGCUAACUACGUGCCAGCCGCCGCUGUAACAC
rnacentral:rRNA from 1 species